UUUCAGUAGUCUCAUAUGAUAUUCCAAUUUUCUGAAAAACAAAAUCCUGGGGUCCAUUAAUAGUAAGGAGAAAGAAUAGAUACUAUGCAAAAUUUUUAAAAAAAUAAUGUGAAAGGACCACAUAUCAUUUGAAUUUAAAUACUGAAAUAACAUUUCGAUGACGCUGUAAAGGCUGUGAGAUCAGCAUUUGCAUUCUGUGUGACUGAAAAUUAGACUUUGAGUGCAGAGCAGCGGCCUGUCUAUCUCUGACAGCGCUGAUCCUUAAGUGCUCUCCUUGGUGAAUCGUCCGCCUGGCUCUUUUAUCAACGCAACAAUACGAAGUAUUAUUCUAAACCUCAGCUGAAAUGCCAAGGUAGAGUGCCGUCCGUGCUGCGUGAAGAACACGUCCUGUCAUCCUUUGUCUGACAAAAGUAACAGAGAACCAAACGGAGAGAAGGGCAGCAGAGGCAGCUGCUGAACUCACUGAACUGGAGAUCAGGAGCCGUGAGAUACCGAGCCAAGCUGUAGGCUGGGUUUUGAGUUGCGGUGGCACUUUAUCUCCUCAGACCAAAACACAAAACACAUUGAAGAUCAAGUGAGUUAGUUUGGGAUUAAUUUUUGAUAAGCGAAGAGUUUCAUUUAAAGCUGCAGUAUGUAACUUUCAUAAACAAAAUGGCUUUUUUUGUUUGUUUGUUUUCUUCUACAUAUUUGUUAAAAAUGUCACAAUGUUGAGAAAGUAUGAGACGGGUAAUCUAUGAAAAAAAUCCAGCUCUUCUGCCUUCUCGCUGCUGUCCUACUGCUAUCUGCAGAAACACACCAAUCAGAGCCGGGUGGAGGGUCUUAGAGCUGUCAAUCAAGCUUGAGUAUAUGCUCUGCUCACAACAUUGCCCUUUCUCUUGGGGUAGGGUAAGGGUUACGGUUAUUUUUUCCACCGACCAAAUGCACUUCCAGCCAGAUUUUCUGUUGUUGUUGUUGACCAGAAGAGAAAGUUUGAUGAAUUUUCCCUUUUCUUUCUCCACCGGGGGAUCUGACUUCAAAUCCUGAAGCCCGUCCGUUCUCCUCCUGCUUCAUUAGGACGGUUAACCUCGGCCUGCAGGAAGAACCCUCUUCAUCCUCAAUCAGAUGGAUUUCUGUUUUGCUAGCAACCUGCUAAUGGAAGCUGCCUGAGGAUGGUGGAGCCAGCUUGGCGUGUCACAGGGGGGGAUUUCUCUAACUUACAGGCUGCUGUUUUGAUUUGGAUCACAAGGGAACAAGAAACACUAACAGGUAUCACCAUUCGGAUACAAAGACAAAGGCAAAACGUACGACAUACCCACAUGACUAAGUGCAUAUUUGUGGAAAUGAUGCAUGUUUUUCAAAAUAUAUGGCAAAACAAAUC